AGAAUCAACGCUGGCGGCGUGCCUAACACAUGCAAGUCGCACGAGAAAGGGUAGCAAUACCUGAGUACAGUGGCGCACGGGUGAGUAACACGUGAAUAAUCUACCUCCGAGUGGGGAAUAACUGAGAGAAAUCUUAGCUAAUACCGCAUAAUACCCACGGGUCAAAGCAGCAAUGCGCUUGGAGAGGAGUUCGCGGCAGAUUAGUUAGUUGGCGGGGGUAAUGGCCCACCAAGACGAUGAUCUGUA
rnacentral:rRNA from 1 species